ACCGUACUCCUACGGGAGGCAGCAGUAGGGAAUCUUCGGCAUGGACGAAAGUCUGACCGAGCAACGCCGCGUGAGUGAAGAAGGUUUUCGGAUCGUAAAGCUCUGUUGAAAGAGAAGAACGGGUGUGAGAGUGGAAAGUUCACACUGUGACGGUAUCUUACCAGAAAGAGACGGCUAACUACGUGCCAGCAGCCGCGGUAAUACGUAGGUCCCGAGCGUUGUCCGGAUUUAUUGGGCGUAAAGCGAGCGCAGGCGGUUAGAUAAGUCUGAAGUUAAAGGCUGUGGCUUAACCAUAGUACGCUUUGGAAACUGUUUAACUUGAGUGCAGAAGGGGAGAGUGGAAUUCCAUGUGUAGCGGCGAAAUGCGUAGAUAUAUGGAGGAACACCGGUGGCGAGAGCGGCUCUCUGGUCUGUAACUGACGCUGAGGCUCGAAAGCGUGGGGAGCGAACAGGAUUAGAAACCCCGGUAGUCCUUGAC
rnacentral:rRNA from 1 species